UACGUAGGGUGCGAGCGUUGUCCGGAAUUACUGGGCGUAAAGAGCUCGUAGGUGGUUUGUCGCGUUGUCCGUGAAAACUCACAACUCAAUUGUGGGCGUGCGGGCGAUACGGGCAGACUGGAGUACUGCAGGGGGAGACUGGAAUUCCUGGUGUAGCGGUGGAAUGCGCAGAGUAUCAGGAGGAACACCGGUGGCGAAGGGCGGGGUCU
rnacentral:rRNA from 1 species